CCUACGGGAGGCAGCAGUGGGGAAUAUUGCACAAUGGGGGAAACCCUGAUGCAGCGACGCCGCGUGAGUGAAGAAGUAUCUCGGUACGUAAAGCUCUAUCAGCAGGGAAGAAAAUGACGGUACCUGACUAAGAAGCCCCGGCGAACUACGUGCCAGCAGCCGCGGUAAUACGUAGGGGGCAAGCGUUAUCCGGAUUUACUGGGGGUAAAGGGAGCGUAGACGGCAGCACAAGUCUGUAGUGAAAUCGCGGGGCUUAACCCCGGAACUGCUUUGGAUACUGUGCGGCUGGAGUACAGGAGGGGUAAGCGGAAUUCCUGGUGUAGCGGUGAAAUGCGUAGAUAUUAGGAGGAACACCGGUGGCGAAGGCAGCUUACUGGACUGUAACUGACGUUGAGGCUCGAAAGCGUGGGGAGCAAACAGGAUUAGAUACCCGAGUAGUC
rnacentral:rRNA from 1 species